CCUACGGGCGGCAGCAGUGGGGAAUAUUGGACAAUGGGCGAAAGCCUGAUCCAGCCAUGCCGCGUGUGUGAAGAAGGCCUUCGGGUUGUAAAGCACUUUCAGUGGGGAAGAAAGCCUUGGGGCUAAUACCCUCGAGGAAGGACAUCACCCACAGAAGAAGCACCGGCUAACUCCGUGCCAGCAGCCGCGGUAAUACGGAGGGUGCGAGCGUUAAUCGGAAUUACUGGGCGUAAAGCGCGCGUAGGCGGUCUGAUAAGCCGGUUGUGAAAGCCCCGGGCUCAACCUGGGAACGGCAUCCGGAACUGUCAGGCUAGAGUGCAGGAGAGGAAGGUAGAAUUCCCGGUGUAGCGGUGAAAUGCGUAGAGAUCGGGAGGAAUACCAGUGGCGAAGGCGGCCUUCUGGACUGACACUGACGCUGAGGUGCGAAAGCGUGGGUAGCAAACAGGAUUAAUACCCGAGUAGUC
rnacentral:rRNA from 1 species